GGAGGCAGCAGUAAGGAAUAUUGGUCAAUGGAGGGGAACUCUGAACCAGCCAUGCCGCGUGAAGGAUGACGGCCCUCUGGGUUGUAAACUUCUUUUGGAUGGGGCGAAAAAACGGGAUUUAUCCUGGACUGACGGUACCAUCAGAAUAAGCACCGGCUAACUCCGUGCCAGCAGCCGCGGUAAUACGGAGGGUGCAAGCGUUAUCCGGAAUCACUGGGUUUAAAAGGGUGCGUAGGCGGUUGUAUAAGUCAGGGGUGAAAGGAUGCAGCUUAACUGUAUAAUUGCCUUUGAUACUGUAUGACUUGAAUAAGGUUGAGGUUGGCGGAAUGUGACAUGUAGCGGUGAAAUGUCUUAGAUAUGUCAUGGAACACCGAUUGCGAAGGCAGCUGACUGGGCCGUUUAUUGACGCUGAGGCACGAAAGCGUGGGUAGCGAACAGGA
rnacentral:rRNA from 1 species